GACGAACGCUGGCGGCGUGCUUAACACAUGCAAGGCGAACGGAAAGGCCCUGCUUUUGUGGGGUGCUCGAGUGGCGAACGGGUGAGUAACACGUGAGUAACCUGCCCUUGACUUUGGGAUAACUUCAGGAAACUGGGGCUAAUACCGGAUAGGAGCUCCUGCUGCAUGGUGGGGGUUGGAAAGUUUCGGCGGUUGGGGAUGGACUCGCGGCUUAUCAGCUUGUUGGUGGGGGAGGGGCUUACCAAGGCUUUGACGGGUAGCCGGCCUGAGAGGGUGACCGGCCACAUUGGGACUGAGAUACGGCCCAGACUCCUACGGGAGGCAGCAGUGGGGAAUAUUGCACAAUGGGCGGGAGCCUGAUGCAGCAACGCCGCGUGCGGGAUGACGGCCUUCGGGUUGUAAACCGCUUUCGCCUGUGACGAAGCGUGAGUGACGGUAAUGGGUAAAGAAGCACCGGCUAACUACGU
rnacentral:rRNA from 1 species